GACAAACGCUGGCGGCGUGCUUAACACAUGCAAGUCGAACGGAAAGGCCCUGCUUUUGUGGGGUGCUCGAGUGGCGAACGGGUGAGUAACACGUGAGUAACCUGCCCUUGACUUUGGGAUAACUUCAGGAAACUGGGGCUAAUACCGGAUAGGAGCUCCUGCUGCAUGGUGGGGGUUGGAAAGUUUCGGCGGUUGGGGAUGGACUCGCGGCUUAUCAGCUUGUUGGUGGGGUAGUGGCUUACCAAGGCUUUGACGGGUAGCCGGCCUGAGAGGGUGACCGGCCACAUUGGGACUGAGAUACGGCCCAGACUCCUACGGGAGGCAGCAGUGGGGAAUAUUGCACAAUGGGCGGAAGCCUGAUGCAGCAACGCCGCGUGCGGGAUGACGGUCUUCGGGUUGUAAACCGCUUUCGCCUGUGACGAAGCGUGAGUGACGGUAAUGGGUAAAGAAGCACCGGCUAACUACGUG
rnacentral:rRNA from 1 species